rnacentral:rRNA from 1 species
AUUGAACGCUGGCGGCAUGCCUUACACAUGCAAGUCGAACGGUAACGGGCCUUCGGGUGCCGACGAGUGGCGAACGGGUGAGUAAUGUAUCGGAACGUAACUUUCAGUGGGGGAUAACGUAGCGAAAGUUACGCUAAUACCGCAUAUUCUGUGAGCAGGAAAGCAGGGGGAUCGCAAGACCUUGCGCUGAUUGAGCGGCCGAUAUCAGAUUAGCUAGUUGGUGAGGUAAAGGCUCACCAAGGCGACGAUCUGUAGCGGGGUCUGAGAGGAUGAUCCGCCACACUGGAACUGAGACACGGUCCAGACUCCUACGGGAGGCAGCAGUGGGGAAUUUUGGACAAUGGGGGCAACCCUGAUCCAGCCAUGCCGCGUGAGUGAAGAAGGCCUUCGGGUUGUAAAGCUCUUUCGGCCGGGAAGAAAUCGUAUGGGCUAAUACCCUGUGCGGAUGACGGUACCGGCAUAAGAAGCACCGGCUAACUACGUG